CGGUACAUCGGUGACAGGUGGUGCAUGGUUGUCGUCAGCUCGUGUCGUGAGAUGUUGGGUUAAGUCCCGCAACGAGCGCAACCCCUAUUGUUAGUUGCCAUCAUUCAGUUGGGCACUCUAGCGAGACUGCCGGUAAUAAACCGGAGGAAGGUGGGGAUGACGUCAAAUCAUCAUGCCCCUUAUGACCUGGGCUACACACGUGCUACAAUGGUUGGUACAACGAGUUGCGAGUCGGUGACGGCGAGCUAAUCUCUUAAAGCCAAUCUCAGUUCGGAUUGUAGGCUGCAACUCGCCUACAUGAAGUCGGAGUUGCUAGUAAUCGCGGAUCAGAAUGCCGCGGUGAAUGCGUUCCCGGGUCUU
rnacentral:rRNA from 1 species